GAUGAACGCUGGCGGCGUGCCUAAUACAUGCAAGUCGAGCGAAGCGGGGACGGGUGAGUAACACGUGGGUAACCUCCUAUAAGGAUGGGAUAACUUCAGGGAACCUGAUCUCAACCGGAUACUUAUACAGGGAUGCGCGCUGCAUUAGCUAGUUGGUAAGGUAACGGCUUACCAAGGCAACGAUGCAUAGCCGACCUGAGAGGGCGACCGGCCACACUGGAACUGAGACACGGUCCAGACUCCUACGGGAGGCAGCAGUAGGGAAUCUUCCGCAAUGGGCGAAAGCCUGACGCAGCCACGCCGCGUGAGUGAUGAAGGUCUUCGGAUCGUAAAGCACUGUUAGCAGGGAAGCGGUACCUAAUCAGAAAGCACCGGCUAACUACGUGCCAGCAGCCGCGGUAAUUC
rnacentral:rRNA from 1 species